rnacentral:rRNA from 1 species
GCAGCCGCGGUAUACGAAAGGUGCAAGCGUUAAUCGGAAUUACUGGGCGUAAAGCGCGCGUAGGCGGUGUGUUAAGUCGGAUGUGAAAGCCCAGGGCUCAACCUUGGAAUUGCAUCCGAUACUGGCACGCUAGAGUGCAGUAGAGGGAGGUGGAAUUUCCGGUA